GAACGCGACUGUAAUUGUAGCAAUACGAUUGCUGUUUAGUGGCGGACGGGUGAGUAACGCGUGAGCAACCUGCCUUAAAGAGGGGGACAACAGCUGGAAACGGCUGCUAAUACCGCAUGAAGUGAUUGGGGGGCAUCCUCCGAUUACCAAAGAUUUAUCGCUUUAAGAUGGGCUCACGUCUGAUUAGCUAGUUGGUGAGGUAACGGCUCACCAAGGCUGCGAUCAGUAGCCGGACUGAGAGGUUGAACGGCCACAUUGGGACUGAGAUACGGCCCAGACUCCUACGGGAGGCAGCAGUGGGGAAUAUUGGUCAAUGGGGGAAACCCUGAACCAGCAACGCCGCGUGAAGGAAGAAGGCUUUCGGGUUGUAAACUUCUUUUAUGAGGGACGAAGGAAGUGACGGUACCUCAUGAAUAAGCCACGGCUAACUACGUGCCAGCAGCCGCGGUAAU
rnacentral:rRNA from 1 species